rnacentral:rRNA from 1 species
CUAAUACAUGCAGUCGAGCGGACAGAUGGGAGCUUGCUCCCUGAUGUUAGCGGCGCGGGUGAGUAACACGUGGGUAACCUGCCUGUAAGACUGGGAUAACUCCGGGAAACGGGGCUAAUACCGGAUGCUUGUUUGAACCGCAUGGUUCAAACAUAAAAGGUGGCUUCGCUACCACUUACAGAUGGACCCGCGGCGCAUUAGCUAGUUGGUGAGGUAAUGGCUCACCAAGGCGACGAUGCGUAGCCGACCUGAGAGGGUGAUCGGCCACACUGGGACUGAGACACGGCCCAGACUCCUACGGGAGGCAGCAGUAGGGAAUCUUCCGCAAUGGACGAAAGUCUGACGGAGCAACGCCGCGUGAGUGAUGAAGGUUUUCGGAUCGUAAAGCUCUGUUUUAGGGAAGAACAAGUACCGUUCGAAUAGGGCGGUACCUUGACGGUACCUAACCAGAAGCCACGGCUAACUACGUGCCAGCAGCCGCGGUAAUACGUAGGUGGCAAGCGUUGGAAUUAUUGGGCGUAAAGGGCUCGCAGGCGGUUUCUUAAGUCUGAUGUGAAAGCCCCCGGCUCAACCGGGGAGGGUCAUUGGAAACUGGGGAACUUGAGUGCAGAAGAGGAGGUGGAAUUCCACGUGUAGCGGUGAAAUGCGUAGAGAUGUGGAGG